AGACUAAUUUUUAGAAUUAAAUAGCGAUCAAAACUGUUAAUUUAAAUCUUCUAAAUAGCAUUUAAAUAGUUAUUAUGGAUCUGAAAUCAUGUUAAUAAAAAUCCUUCAUUGGCUGAUGAAGCCAUCGAUAUAUCUAUAACAGGUUUGAACAAAUUUCAAAAAGUUUCUCUUCAUGCCAGUUCAAAACUAGCCAAUGGGGCUGUGUUUGAAAGCACAUCACAUUACAUUGCAGAUAAUUUGGGGUGUAUCGACCUACGUUCACAUAAAUCAUAUGGAGGAACUUAUGAAGGAAUUUGGCCAAUGGGUCCGAUUAGUUUCAUGACACCGUCAUCUUUUAAUAAGCGCAAGCACGAGAGGUUUUUAAUCAAGGACCCGAUGAAGCUUUCACAAUAAAAUUGCAAGUCUUUGAUUCUUUCAUCCCAGAAAUGGUUGAAAAUACGAACAAAUAUAAAAAGUUGACUGAUUUUGACAUCAUAAGAACUUAUGUCACUCCACAAGUUAUUGAACAAGAAAUUCAUGAAGGCAAAAUUAGGGGGACCCUAUACUUGCCAACCAAGAGUGGGAAAUACCCUGGUGUGAUAAGUAUGAGUGGUGGAUAUCCUGGAGCUAUGAAACACAAAGCGGCAAUAUUAGCGUCACAUGGAUUUGUUGCUUUAGCUUUAAGAUAUUUCGGUACCGAUGAUUUGCCUCCGUGUGGAAGGCAUUGAUUUGGCCUAUUUUAUUGAAGCUGCAAGGUUUUUAAAGAAUCAUCCAAAUGUCCAAGGCAAAAAUGGUGUUGGCAUUAUCGCAAAUUGUGCUGGAGCUAUCUUUGCCCUGGCUGCUGCAACAUGUGCCCCAGAUGGACUAUUCGGCUGUGUUGUUGCAAUAAGUGGUUGGUUUUUCUCAUUUACAAAUUUUGAAUAUGAAGGCAAGAAAUGGAAAUCAAUGCUAUCAUUCAAAACUUUCAAACCUG